rfam:Gossypium hirsutum cultivar TM-1 unplaced genomic scaffold scaffold1957.1, whole genome shotgun sequence
UAUUAAAAAUUUAAUCUAUUUGCACUGUUAAAAACUGGUGUGGUUGACAAAAUAAUCAGACAGUGACAUGUGGCAUGUCAUGUGUACGUCAUACUGUACAGGGACUAGUUUUUAACAAUAGAAAUGAAUGAAAAUUUUAACA